rnacentral:rRNA from 1 species
CGAAGAACCUUACCAGGUCUUGACAUCCCUUGCUAAUCCUAGAAAUAGGACGUUCCCUUCGGGGACAAGGUGACAGGUGGUGCAUGGUUGUCGUCAGCUCGUGUCGUGAGAUGUUGGGUUAAGUCCCGCAACGAGCGCAACCCUUAUUAUUAGUUGCCAGCAUUCAGUUGGGCACUCUAGUGAGACUGCCGGUGACAAACCGGAGGAAGGUGGGGAUGACGUCAAAUCAUCAUGCCCCUUAUGACCUGGGCUACACACGUGCUACAAUGGCAUAUACAACGAGUCGCCAACCCGCGAGGGUGCGCUAUUCUCUUAAAGUAUGUCUCAGUUCGGAUUGUAGGCUGCAACUCGCCUACAUGAAGUCGGAAUCGCUAGUAAUCGCGGAUCAGCACGCCGCGGUGAAUACGUUCCCGGGUCUUGUACACACCGCCCGUCACACCAUGAGAGUUUGUAACACCCAAAGC